UUGCAGACUUAUCCUCAGCUCAAGCGAGCUUGGGACAUUAUAGAGCCAGCCAAGUCUCCCCUUCCUGGCGUGGGUACUUGUGCAGAAACUUCCCGAGAUGCUUCUGUGACUGCACAGUGAAGACCGCCGCACUGGAGCUUCCUUGUUUCAAAAAGAAAAUUUUUGGCAGCACUGCAGAGGCACAAGAAACCAGGCACAAUAUAAAAUAUACAAGUAAAGCGGGUACCAAGGAACUUAAAACAUUCAACCCAUAAUGUCGUCUAGGUUUUUCUGUUUUAAGAAAAUUGACUCAGUUCUUCCAAGAGAAUAACCCUAUUAAAGCUAACUUUUCACA